CAGCUAGUUGGUGAGGUAACGGCCCACCAAGGCUAUGAUGGGUAGCUGGUCUGAGAGGACGGACAGCCACACUGGGACUGAGACACGGCCCAGACUCCUACGGGAGGCAGCAGUGAGGAAUUUUCCGCAAUGGGCGAAAGCCUGACGGAGCAACGCCGCGUGAGGGAUGAAGUCUCUAGGGAUGUAAACCUCUGUUGGGUGGGACGAAGAUCUGACGGUACCACCUGAGGAAGCCCCGGCUAACUACGUGCCAGCAGCCGCGGUAAUACGUAGGGGGCGAGCGUUAUCCGGAUUUACUGGGCGUAAAGAGCGCGUAGGCGGUUCCGUAAGUUGGUUGUGAAAGUUCGAGGCUCAACCUCGAAACUGCGUCCAAUACUGCGGGGCUGGAGUGCAAGAGAGGCAAGUGGAAUUUGCAGUGUAGUAGUGAAAUGCGUAGAUAUUGCAAGGAACACCAGUGGCGAAGGCGGCUUGCUAGCUUGUAACUGACGCUGAGGCGCGAAAGCUAGGGGAGCGAACGGGAUUAGAUACCCCGGUAGUCCUAGCCCUAAACAAUGUUCACUAGGUGUUGGUGGUAUUGACGCCAUCAGUGCCGCAGCUAACGCAUUAAGUGA
rnacentral:rRNA from 1 species